AUCAUCAGUAGUGGUUAAUACUAUCUCAAGAUAAUAUUAAUUACAUUCAAUAGAAACCUAUAUCACCAUUAUCCUGGUCUUCAAGGUUGUAUGCUGUAUCUCUACACAGGGAUAUUGUAUGUGGCCGAAGUUAAUACUGGAUUAGGGUAAUAGUGAUUGAUUUUAACCCAUAGCUGAGUGGAUUUUGACCAGCCCCAAACAAGCUGGCUACAAUAUCCAUUUCGUUUCCGGUUUCUUAGAUCAUAAUCUACUAUG